rnacentral:rRNA from 1 species
UACGUAGGGUGCAAGCGUUGUCCGGAAUUAUUGGGCGUAAAGAGCUCGUAGGCGGUCUGUCGCGUCUGCUGUGAAAACCUAGGGCUUAACUCUGGGCGUGCAGUGGGUACGGGCAGGCUAGAGUGCGGUAGGGGAGACUGGAAUUCCUGGUGUAGCGGUGAAAUGCGCAGAUAUCGGGAGGAACACCGGUGGCGAAGGCGGUUCUCUGGGCCUUACCUGACGCUGAGGAGCGAAAGCGUGGGGGAGCGAACAGG